rnacentral:rRNA from 1 species
GACGUAGGGGGCAAGCGUUGUCCGGAAUCAUUGGGCGUAAAGCGCUCGUAGGUGGAUCGGUAAGUCUGCAAAGAAAGACCCGGGCUCAACUCGGGGAACGGUGUGGAUACUACCGAUCUUGAGGCAAUCAGAGGAUGAUGGAAUUUCCGGUGUAGCGGUGAAAUGCGUAGAGAUCGGAAGGAACACCAGUGGCGAAGGCGGCUACCUGGACAAAUACUGACGCUGAGGCGCGAGAGCGUGGGGAGCAAACGAGG